GGGUUGUGAGGUUAAGCGACUAAGCGUACACGGUGGAUGCCCUGGCAGUCAGAGGCGAUGAAGGACGUGCUAAUCUGCGAUAAGCGUCGGUAAGGUGAUAUGAACCGUUAUAACCGGCGAUUUCCGAAUGGGGAAACCCAGUGUGUUUCGACACACUAUCAUUAACUGAAUCCAUAGGUUAAUGAGGCGAACCGGGGGAACUGAAACAUCUAAGUACCCCGAGGAAAAGAAAUCAACCGAGAUUCCCCCAGUAGCGGCGAGCGAACGGGGAGCAGCCCAGAGCCUGAAUCAGUGUGUGUGUUAGUGGAAGCGUCUGGAAAGGCGCGCGAUACAGGGUGACAGCCCCGUACACAAAAAUGCACAUGCUGUGAGCUCGAUGAGUAGGGCGGGACACGUGGUAUCCUGUCUGAAUAUGGGGGACCAUCCUCCAAGGCUAAAUACUCCUGACUGACCGAUAGUGAACCAGUACCGUGAGGGAAAGGCGAAAAGAACCCCGGCGAGGGGAGUGAAAAAGAACCUGAAACCGUGUACGUACAAGCAGUGGGAGCACGCUUAGGCGUGUGACUGCGUACCUUUUGUAUAAUGGGUCAGCGACUUAUAUUCUGUAGCAAGGUUAACCGAAUAGGGGAGCCGAAGGGAAACCGAGUCUUAACUGGGCGUUAAGUUGCAGGGUAUAGACCCGAAACCCGGUGAUCUAGCCAUGGGCAGGUUGAAGGUUGGGUAACACUAACUGGAGGACCGAACCGACUAAUGUUGAAAAAUUAGCGGAUGACUUGUGGCUGGGGGUGAAAGGCCAAUCAAACCGGGAGAUAGCUGGUUCUCCCCGAAAGCUAUUUAGGUAGCGCCUCGUGAAUUCAUCUCCGGGGGUAGAGCACUGUUUCGGCAAGGGGGUCAUCCCGACUUACCAACCCGAUGCAAACUGCGAAUACCGGAGAAUGUUAUCACGGGAGACACACGGCGGGUGCUAACGUCCGUCGUGAAGAGGGAAACAACCCAGACCGCCAGCUAAGGUCCCAAAGUCAUGGUUAAGUGGGAAACGAUGUGGGAAGGCCCAGACAGCCAGGAUGUUGGCUUAGAAGCAGCCAUCAUUUAAAGAAAGCGUAAUAGCUCACUGGUCGAGUCGGCCUGCGCGGAAGAUGUAACGGGGCUAAACCAUGCACCGAAGCUGCGGCAGCGACGCUUAUGCGUUGUUGGGUAGGGGAGCGUUCUGUAAGCCUGCGAAGGUGUGCUGUGAGGCAUGCUGGAGGUAUCAGAAGUGCGAAUGCUGACAUAAGUAACGAUAAAGCGGGUGAAAAGCCCGCUCGCCGGAAGACCAAGGGUUCCUGUCCAACGUUAAUCGGGGCAGGGUGAGUCGACCCCUAAGGCGAGGCCGAAAGGCGUAGUCGAUGGGAAACAGGUUAAUAUUCCUGUACUUGGUGUUACUGCGAAGGGGGGACGGAGAAGGCUAUGUUGGCCGGGCGACGGUUGUCCCGGUUUAAGCGUGUAGGCUGGUUUUCCAGGCAAAUCCGGAAAAUCAAGGCUGAGGCGUGAUGACGAGGCACUACGGUGCUGAAGCAACAAAUGCCCUGCUUCCAGGAAAAGCCUCUAAGCAUCAGGUAACAUCAAAUCGUACCCCAAACCGACACAGGUGGUCAGGUAGAGAAUACCAAGGCGCUUGAGAGAACUCGGGUGAAGGAACUAGGCAAAAUGGUGCCGUAACUUCGGGAGAAGGCACGCUGAUAUGUAGGUGAGGUCCCUCGCGGAUGGAGCUGAAAUCAGUCGAAGAUACCAGCUGGCUGCAACUGUUUAUUAAAAACACAGCACUGUGCAAACACGAAAGUGGACGUAUACGGUGUGACGCCUGCCCGGUGCCGGAAGGUUAAUUGAUGGGGUUAGCGCAAGCGAAGCUCUUGAUCGAAGCCCCGGUAAACGGCGGCCGUAACUAUAACGGUCCUAAGGUAGCGAAAUUCCUUGUCGGGUAAGUUCCGACCUGCACGAAUGGCGUAAUGAUGGCCAGGCUGUCUCCACCCGAGACUCAGUGAAAUUGAACUCGCUGUGAAGAUGCAGUGUACCCGCGGCAAGACGGAAAGACCCCGUGAACCUUUACUAUAGCUUGACACUGAACAUUGAGCCUUGAUGUGUAGGAUAGGUGGGAGGCUUUGAAGUGUGGACGCCAGUCUGCAUGGAGCCGACCUUGAAAUACCACCCUUUAAUGUUUGAUGUUCUAACGUUGACCCGUAAUCCGGGUUGCGGACAGUGUCUGGUGGGUAGUUUGACUGGGGCGGUCUCCUCCUAAAGAGUAACGGAGGAGCACGAAGGUUGGCUAAUCCUGGUCGGACAUCAGGAGGUUAGUGCAAUGGCAUAAGCCAGCUUGACUGCGAGCGUGACGGCGCGAGCAGGUGCGAAAGCAGGUCAUAGUGAUCCGGUGGUUCUGAAUGGAAGGGCCAUCGCUCAACGGAUAAAAGGUACUCCGGGGAUAACAGGCUGAUACCGCCCAAGAGUUCAUAUCGACGGCGGUGUUUGGCACCUCGAUGUCGGCUCAUCACAUCCUGGGGCUGAAGUAGGUCCCAAGGGUAUGGCUGUUCGCCAUUUAAAGUGGUACGCGAGCUGGGUUUAGAACGUCGUGAGACAGUUCGGUCCCUAUCUGCCGUGGGCGCUGGAGAACUGAGGGGGGCUGCUCCUAGUACGAGAGGACCGGAGUGGACGCAUCACUGGUGUUCGGGUUGUCAUGCCAAUGGCACUGCCCGGUAGCUAAAUGCGGAAGAGAUAAGUGCUGAAAGCAUCUAAGCACGAAACUUGCCCCGAGAUGAGUUCUCCCUGACUCCUUGAGAGUCCUGAAGGAACGUUGAAGACGACGACGUUGAUAGGCCGGGUGUGUAAGCGCAGCGAUGCGUUGAGCUAACCGGUACUAAUGAACCGUGAGGCUUAACCUUACAACGCCGAAGGUGUUU
rnacentral:rRNA from 1 species